rnacentral:misc_RNA from 1 species
UCAUUCGACAAUAGACUGGAUGACUCCGGCACCAACAGUCUUCCCACCCUCUCUGAUGGCAAACCGCAUACCCGGCUCACAAGCAACCGGCAUAAUAAGCUCAACAACCAUCUUAACGCGGUCUCCCGGCAUGACCAUCUUCGACUCCUCAUCCUUGUCAUUCAUGAUGGAGGUGACCUUUCCAGUGACAUCGGUGGUUCGCAUAUAAAAUUGUGGACGGUAACCAGCAAAGAACGGUGAAUGGCGCCCACCCUCCUCUUUCUUAAGCACAUAGACAAUAGCAGAAAACUUGGUGUGUGGAGUGAUGGAGCCAGGCUUGGCAAGGACCAUACCCCGCUGGAUAUCAAUUUUCUGAAUACCACGGAGGAGCAGCCCAACAUUAUCGCCCGCAAGCGCCUCAUCCAGGAUCUUCUGGAACAUCUCAACACCGGUGACGGUGGUCGAGCGGGUUUCACGGAGUCCGACAAGGUCGACAGUCUCACCAACCUUCACUGUGCCACGCUCGACACGGCCUGUGGCAACAGUUCCACGCCCGGUAAUUGAGAAAACGUCUUCAAUGGCGAGUAGGAAGGGAAGUUCGGUCUGGCGUUGCGGGAUCGGGAUGUAUGAAUCAACUUCAUCCAUUAGAGUGUAGAUCUUGUCUACCCAGGGGUCUUCCCCGCGCUUAAUAGCAGGAUUUUUCAUUAAAGCUUCGAGAGCAAGAAGAGCGGAGCCGGAGACAAUGGGGACGUCGUCACCGGGGAAUUCAUAAGAUGAGAGGAGGUCGCGUACCUCGAGCUCAACCAGCUGCAGGAGCUCCUCGUCGUCAACCUGGUCCUGCUUGUUGAGGAAGACAACCAUGUUGGGGACGCCGACUUGUUUAGCAAGGAGGAUGUGCUCCUUUGUCUGUGGCAUG